GCCGCUGUGGCGGAAUGGCAGACGCGCUACGUUCAGGACGUAGUCCUUUUCGGAGGGUGAGGGUUCAACUCCCUCCAGCGGCA
rnacentral:tRNA from 1 species